CGUAGCGGGUGAUACCCCCGUAGACGAAAACUCGGCGCCUUCCUGACGUGGUUCCCAAGUAGCAGCGAGCCCGUGAAAUUCGCUGUGAAUCCGGCGGGACCACCCGCUAAGCCUAAAUACUACCUGAUGACCGAUAGCGGACUAGUACCGUGAGGGAAAGGUGAAAAGCACCCCGACGAGGGGAGUGAAAUAGACCUGAAACCGGACACCUACAAACAGAUGGAGCCCAAGAUACGUUCUGGGUGACAUCGUACCUUUUGUAUUAUGGGCCAGCGACUUAAUUUAACGAGCAAGCUUAAGCCGAUAGGCGAAGGCGCAGCGAAAGCGAGUCUGAAUAGGGCGUCAAGUUCGUUGUAUUAGACCCGAAACCUAGUGAUCUAGCCAUGAGCAGGUUGAAGGUGAGGUAACACUCACUGGAGGACCGAAC
rnacentral:rRNA from 12 species